AGCGAACGCUGGCGGCAGGCCUAACACAUGCAAGUCGAACGGAUCCUUCGGGAUUAGUGGCGGACGGGUGAGUAACACGUGGGAACGUGCCCUUUGGUUCGGAACAACUCAGGGAAACUUGAGCUAAUACCGGAUGUGCCCUUCGGGGGAAAGAUUUAUCGCCAUUGGAGCGGCCCGCGUCUGAUUAGCUAGUUGGUGAGGUAAAGGCUCACCAAGGCGACGAUCAGUAGCUGGUCUGGGAGGAUGAUCAGCCACAUUGGGACUGAGACACGGCCCAAGCUCCUACGGGAGGCAGCAGUGGGGAAUCUUGCGCAGGGGGCGAAAGCCUGACGCAGCCAUGCCGCGUGAAUGAUGAAGGUCUUAGGAUUGUAAAAUUCUUUCACCGGGGACGAUAAUGACGGUACCCGGAGAAGAAGCCCCGGCUAACUUCGUGCCAGCAGCCGCCGUAA
rnacentral:rRNA from 1 species